rnacentral:pre_miRNA from 1 species
CAGAAUGUAACAGUCUGGCAGUGCCUGUUAGCUGGCUGUUGUCUAUGAUGUGUCAACAGCUGCUAACUGCACUCCACAUUGUUUCAUUCAAA